rnacentral:rRNA from 1 species
CACGUAGGGCGCAAGCGUUGUCCGGAAUUAUUGGGCGUAAAGAGCUCGUAGGCGGUCUGUUACGUCUGCUGUGAAAACCUAAGGCUCAACCUUGGGCUUGCAGUGGGUACGGGCAGACUAGAGUGCGGUAGGGGUGACUGGAAUUCCUGGUGUAGCGGUGGAAUGCGCAGAUAUCAGGAGGAACACCGAUGGCGAAGGCAGGUCACUGGGCCGCAACUGACGCUGAGGAGCGAAAGCAUGGGGAGCGAACAGG